AGUUAAUUCUCUAUCCCUUUCUUUCUAUUUUUCUCAAUUUCAAGGGUUAUCCUUUGUUAUUUCACUAAUGUGCUUUUAAUUAUAGAAAUUUUAGAUUACUAGAUUCAGGAAUGCAAUUUGGGAAUGGAGAUUUAAAGCUUUGUGGAUGGUGUUGGGGUGGCUAGGCUAUUGGCUAGUUUGCCAUCGCAUGAAGGAUAAACUAGUCCAUUGAGAUUGCAUUUAGCAAAGACUUGGUAGAUAGAAAUGGGGCAA
rnacentral:misc_RNA from 1 species